GGGGGGGGAGGGGGGAUUGCUAAUAUUUUUCUGGCUAAUGAUGUUUAUUGAUUACUAUCAAAGAGAUGGACAAGAGCGGAAUAACCUCCAAUCAUGAAAUAAAUUUAUGAUUAAAAUGGGGUUUAAGAUUAAAGUUUAUGGUUAAGGUUUUCAAAAAUAAAUAUUUGGAUUUAUAAUUAAAAUGACUAGAUUUAACUUCUCUAUAUAAAGUUUAUAAGGGUUAAACUUUAUAAUUAAGGUUUGAGAUUUGGAAGCUUAAGGUGUGAGAUUAAUAUUCGAAAAAUAGAUUAAUAUUCGAAAAUAAAUUAAUAAAUUUAUUAGUUUUCAUAAAGAGUAGAUCUUAGUUUUUAGUUAUAUUAUAGUACUUUUGUAUUUGAGUUUGGGGUUUGAGUUUUGUGUUUAUGAUUUAGGUUUAAAUGAUAUAUUUAAGGUUGUGUGUAUUAGUUUAGAUUUUUUACUUUUUUUCUCGCAACAACUUAUUUCUAAUUAAUACAUCGCUAACUAGCUACAGAAUAUCUACAAAAUCGAUUCUUAGCCAUAUAGCUACGGAUUGCUACAAUUUAGCUACAAAUUUAGAUACAAAAACAAAAUUAUGUGUUUCGUCGCCAUCUUUCGCCAUUUCUGUAGCUAAUAUAUUUG
rnacentral:lncRNA from 1 species